rnacentral:rRNA from 1 species
UACGUAGGGUGCAAGCGUUAAUCGGAAUUACUGGGCGUAAAGCGUGCGCAGGCGGCUUUGCAAGACAGAUGUGAAAUCCCCGGGCUCAACCUGGGAACUGCAUUUGUGACUGCAAGGCUAGAGUACGAUAGAGGGGGAUGGAAUUCCGCGUGUAGCGGUGAAAUGCGCAGAUAUCAGGAGGAACACCGAUGGCGAAGGCAGCUCGCUGGACCGGAACUGACGCUGAGGCGCGAAAGCGUGGGGAGCAAACAGG